rnacentral:misc_RNA from 1 species
GAUGAAGAACGUAGCGAAAUGCGAUAAGUAAUGUGAAUUGCAGAAUCCAGUGAAUCAUCGAAUCUUUGAACGCACAUUGCGCCCGCCAGUAUUCUGGCGGGCAUGCCUGUCCGUGCGUCAUUUCAACCAUCAAGCCCCAGGCUUGUGUUGGGGACCUGCGUCCGACGCAGGCCCUGAAAACCAGUGGCGGGCUCGCUGUCCACACCGAGCGUAGUAACUAACCUCGCUACGGGAGCGGCGCGGGCGCCUGCCGUAAAACCCCCAAUUUUCACAAGGUUGACCUCGGAUCAGGUAGGAAUACCCGCUGAACUUAAGCAUAUCAAUAAGCGGAGGA